AGAGUUUGAUCCUGGCUCAGGAUGAACGCUGGCGGCGUGCCUAACACAUGCAAGUCGAGCGAUUUACUUCGGUAAAGAGCGGCGGACGGUGAGUAACGCGUGGGUAACCUGCCCUGUACACACGGAUAACAUACCGAGAGGUAUGCUAAUACGAGAUAAUAUACUUUUAUCGCAUGGUAGAAGUAUCAAAGCUUUUGCGGUACAGGAUGGACCCGCGUCUGAUUAGCUAGUUGGUAAGGUAACGGCUUACCAAGGCGACGAUCAGUAGCCGACCUGAGAGGGUGAUCGGCCACAUUGGAACUGAGACACGGUCCAAACUCCUACGGGAGGCAGCAGUGGGGAAUAUUGCACAAUGGGCGAAAGCCUGAUGCAGCAACGCCGCGUGAGCGAUGAAGGCCUUCGGGUCGUAAAGCUCUGUCCUCAAGGAAGAUAAUGACGGUACUUGAGGAGGAAGCCCCGGCUAACUACGUG
rnacentral:rRNA from 1 species